rnacentral:rRNA from 1 species
ACGAACGCUGGCGGCGUGCUUAACACAUGCAAGUCGAACGGAAAGGCCCCUUUGGGGGUACUCGAGUGGCGAACGGGUGAGUAACACGUGAGUAACCUGCCCUUGACUUCGGGUUAACUUCAGGAAACUGGGGCUAAUACCGGAUAGGAAUCCUUGCUGCAUGGGGGGGGUUGGAAAGCUUCGGCGGUUUUGGAUGGACUCGCGGCUUAUCAGCUUGUUGGUGGGGUAGUGGCUUACCAAGGCUUUGACGGGUAGCCGGCCUGGGAGGGCGACCGGCCACAUUGGGACUGAGAUACGGCCCAGACUCCUACGGGAGGCAGAAGUGGGGAAUAUUGCACAAUGGGCGGAAGCCUGAUGCAGCAACGCCGCGUGCGGGAGGACGGCCUUCGGGUUGUAAACCGCUUUCAGCAGGGGCGAAGCUUGUGGUGACGGUACCUGCAGAAGAAGCACCGGCUAACUACGUG